UGCACAGCACAGACUGAGCUAGAGCCGAAACAACGAACUGGCCAAAGCUGCAGCCCGUGCUUCCCUCAGAGCAAAGUUGUUCAGGGUACAAGAGGGAUGCAACAUCCUGAGGAUGAGGACACAAAGUUAAGCUCAGCUUGCAACCUUACAUACCUCAGAUCCAUGCCAGCUUCUUGGACAAGUCCUGUCUAGACAGACUUCCAUUUCUCAAGCUUUGCCACUGAAGACCUAAUUUGGACUGGCAUCCCAAUACUGUCUGUCAUCACUGAUUUCUUCUUGGUGGAGGAUCAGAGUGUUGCUUUGGCCUUUGUUUCCCAUCCUGAAGCAGUCUGGGAGUACCAGGAAAGGAGAUUUCUUUCAGAUCUGACUCAGCAUGACCACACACCCCAGGAGCACUCCUGUUCGACUUCAGUCACUCACAUAGGAAGUUCUCAUAUCCUCACUAGACCAAAUGUGUGUGAGCUGUACCCUCUGGUAAGCGUCCAGUUCAUAUAGCUUAAACAGCACUCUUCCAGCUGCUAGGUGUGCUGUAUCAGCUGGAGAUAGCACUCCUCAGGAGCUGGCAGGUAUGAUGCUGGACCUGAAGGUGCUUCAGAUGUUCCUGGGGUGCAGUGCAAGGCUGGGCAAUGUUCUCUGCAAGACAGAUAGGGGUGAUAGACAUUUGUUUUGAUGGGGAUGCUGAGCCCUGCUGCUGCUAGUGCUGUG